UACGAAGGGUGCAAGCGUUACUCGGAAUUACUGGGCGUAAAGCGUGCGUAGGUGGUUCGUUAAGUCUGAUGUGAAAGCCCUGGGCUCAACCUGGGAAUGGCAUUGGAUACUGGCGACCUAGAGUGCGGUAGAGGGGUGUGGAAUUCCCGGUGUAGCAGUGAAGUGCGUAGAUAUCGGGAGGAACAUCUGUGGCGAAGGCGACACCCUGGACCAGCACUGACACUGAGGCACGAAAGCGUGGGGAGCAAACAGG
rnacentral:rRNA from 1 species